rnacentral:misc_RNA from 1 species
UCCUCUAAAGCAAAGCACCAGAUU